AACGCACCUUGCGCCCUUUGGCUAUUCCGAAGGGCAUGCCUGUUUGAGUAUCAUGAACACCUCAACCCUCAUGGUCUGUCAUGAUGAGGUUGGAUUUUGGAGGUUUUGCUGGCUUGCUGUUGGCUCCUCUCAAAUGAAUCAGCUUUCCAGUGUUUGGUGGCAUCACAGGUGUGAUAACUAUCUACGCUUGUGGGUUUCCACCAUAUAACCUUCAGCAAUGGAGGUUCGCUGGGGCUUAUAAACGUCUAUCCUUUGUGAAGACAGCUCUUUGAAUGUUUGAUCUCAAAUCAGGUAGGACUACCCGCUGAACUUAA
rnacentral:misc_RNA from 1 species